rnacentral:rRNA from 1 species
GUGUCAGCAGCCGCGGUAAGACGUAGGGGGCGAGCGUUGUCCGGAUUUAUUGGGCGUAAAGAGCGCGUAGGCGGCUCGUUAAGUCGGGUGUGAAAACCCGGGGCUCAACCCCGGGCCUGCAUUCGAUACUGGCGGGCUAGAGGCUGACAUAGGAGAGCGGAAUUCCUGGUGUAGCGGUGAAAUGCGCAGAUAUCAGGAGGAACGCCGGUGGCGAAAGCGACGCACUGGAUCUCUACUGACGCUGAGGCGCGAAAGCUAGGGGAGCGAACGGGAUUAGAUACCCCAGUAGUCC